rnacentral:piRNA from 1 species
UAUAUUUAUGGUUGACUAUCGUUAGGAGGC